CACAAAUAUGCAAUGAACGUGCAAAAACUCUCUUUAUUAGUUGUUGCUCUUUCUUUCUUUCUUUCUUUCUUUUUUUUGAAAAAUAACGACGUCUCUGAGGCGCAAAUUCCGACAGUGAGAGGAACGGCCGGAUACAGGAGACGGGAAGAAACAAGCCGAUUAUGUUCGCUUUAAUUAAGUGGUUGGAAGAUGUAAAAUUCUCAAUUCUGCCAACUGAACAUAUACGAGAUUUUAAUGAGGAUGAAUAAUUAGCCGGCAUGGAGGAAACGGACAAGAAGGAGGCGGGUGGCCGGUCUAUGAAGCCUCCAUCAUCAAGCUAGCAGAAAUCCCACCUCUCCUUCUGGCUACAGAGCACUUACCAAGCCCAUGAAAUCGAAUGCAGAUCUUCCUGAUGUCAGAUUUACAUAAAUAUGUCAAAGUCUCAACCUCAUGCUGCCCUCCCCAUCCUCCUAAACCUGUGGAUACAAAUGCAGAUUUCCUUAAUGUUCAAUGGUGCGUGUUCUUCUAAUGGCUGCCUUCCCACUGGAGGUUUUGAUCCACAGCAAUUUAAAAGGAGGACAGAGCAAAACGGACAUCGGCGCAGAGCGAAGAACUGCCCUUCAUAAGGACACUAUGACAGCCAUAUAUAGUAAGUGAAGACUUUCUGUGUAUCUAAAAUUGCAUACAGCACAAGUAACUUACUUUACAACCAUUAAAAUAGGUUGUAAAGUAAGUUACCAAUACAAAUAGGUGAUGAUGCUUUGUAGUGGUUGGUCUCAGACAAAGAAGGUCAACAGAUUUAUGAAUGCUGGAGGGUAAGGAGAGACAACCAAAAGGGGUGUUAGCAUUACUGUAAUGUGAACUGGAUAGACUUUCCAUCUAGGAAAAAAAAGAGGUAAAAUUAUGCAUAAAAUAUAUCUGUAUUAAUAUCUGUAUCUAUAUAAACAGAAAUAUCUGUUUGCUAAAUGAAGCCAGCUAACAUAAAUCAUAUUUUUAUUUUAAUUCUGAUAAAAGUAAUAGAACUGUGACUUUUGUUUGUUACAGGAAGAGGUUUCCCAAUGUGUCCAGAAGGGCUUUGAGGAUUGCAGUGAAAGCUGGGGGAACUGAGACUGCUGGAAAAGGAAAAGAAAUUACAUUUUAAGUAUGUUGACUUAUGUUCAUACAAUCACACACACAUAUACACAUACACACACACAUAUAUAUACACACACAUAUAUGUAUAUGUGUGUGUAUAUAUAUGUGUGUGUGUGUGUUUCUUUUAGAAUGUUUAAGUAUGUAAUGAGAAUAAAAUAAUAAAAUGAAUACUCCUUGCUUGAUUGAUAUGCUAUAUGUAUGUUUUAAACAUCAAAUAAAGAUUUCUUUCAGCUGUUACAUGUGAAUGUGUUUUCUUAGAAAUAUA